rnacentral:rRNA from 4 species
AUCCCAUCCCGAACUCAGUAGUGAAACGCAAUCGCGCCGAUGAUAGUGUGGGGUCUCCCCAUGUGAAAGUAGGUCAUUUCCAGAC